rnacentral:rRNA from 1 species
UGGGGAAGUCAUUGCGUCAAUGGCCAUAAGCCAGGCUGACGCAGCGACGCCGCGUGUGGGAUGGAAGCAUCUUCGGAGUGUAAACCACUGUUGCCCGGGACGAAUAGCUCGAUUAAUCGAGCCUGACGGUACCGGGUGAGGAAGCACCGGCUAACUCCGUGCCAACAGCCGCGGUAAUACGGGGGUGCGAGCGUUGUCCGGAAUCACUGGGCGUAAAGGGCGCGUAGGUGGUUUGAUAAGGGUGUGGUGAAAGUCCGGGGCUCAACCCGCAGUCUGCCGUGCCGACUGUCAAACUCGAGGACUGUAGAGGCAGACGGAAUUCCGGGUGUAGCGGUGGAAUUGCGUAGAGAUCCGGAGGAAGACCGGUGGCGAAGGCGGUCUGCUGGGCAGUUUUCUGACACUGAGGCGCGACAGCGUGGGGAGCAAGCA